rnacentral:tRNA from 1 species
GGGGCUAUAGCUCAGUGGUAGAGUGCUUGCCUCCCAUGCAUGAGGCAUUGGGUUCAAUCCUUAGCACCA